AGACCUCAGGUGAUCCACUCGCCUUGGCCUCCCAAAGUGCUGGAAUUACAAGUGUGAGCCACCGCACCCAGCCAAUAAAGCUGAUUUUUAAAAGUAGUACGGAAUAUUUGUUGCAAAGUUAAAUAUCAAGAGGCUGUGAAAAAAGUAAUUUUCUACAUAAUCUUUGCUGAUAUAGUUCUACUUUGUGCUUUUUGGUAAAUGAAAAGCCAAAUCUCUAAAAUCUGGGCCUUGAAACCCUGUGCACACAGGCCAGAAAGCCCCCCACUCAGUGUUGACCAGCCAAGUGGGUGAGAAGUCGCAAUUACAGGAUGCUAAAGAUGACAGCAAAGCUGGUGCUGUGUGAUGAACUCAAGGAAGAGAGCUGUAAAUGAGGAACUUACAAUCUAGAUGGGGAGACAAUAUAUAUACACAGGAGAAGCUGGAAAAAAAAACUGCUCAAGACUAAAUGAAUGGUAUGUAUAUCAUCGUAAGUAUAAGAGAGAAAAUUCAUAUGUGAAUGGUAUAGCUUUGGGCUGGGGAAGCCAGAAAGGGCUUUAAAGAUUUACCAGAAGGGGAGAAUAUGAGUUGUUUUUUGAAAGAUCAUGACUGUGUGUGUGUGGUGUGUGUGUGUGUGUGUCUUUGUAUGUAUGGAUAGAGAGUUCAAUGAAUAAAUGAGGGUACUGAAGCUCUAUACAGAGCUUCCAAGGAUGAGCAGAGGUUGGUCAGGCACCAUAGGGCAAGUGCUUUCUAGCAGAACAAAGAGCACAGCAUAGGCACUGGGGAACGAGAGAACAUGGUGAUUAGGGAAACUGUCAGGAGUUCAUUCUGGCUGGGGAAAAGGGAGCAAGGUGGGGAGUGUUGAGAUGUGACACUACAGAGACUGGCCUGGGAUGGAUCAUUAAGGAUCUUUUAGGUUAUGCUAAACAGUCUUGAUUUUACCCUGGGGAAAAAAAAACUGGAAGAAGGAAACUAUCAAUCAAGGUAGUGAUAUCAGAUUUACAUUUAGAAAAUAUGCUAUUAAAAAAAAUUCUGGCAGCAGGAAGGAGGAUGAAUUGGAAGGCAGCAAGAGUGGAGGCAAGAAGACCAGCUGAGGAGCUAAAGCAGUACUUCCAAUGAAAGACAAUGAAGUCUGAACCAAGGCAGUGAGCUUUUUCAAAAAAAUCAAACUACAGAAGAAAUAAUGAUGAAAUUUAAAUUUUCCACUUAUGACCCUCAGGCUCUUUCCAGAAGCAACCACCAUUAUCAUUUUUCUUUCGUGUCUUUCCAGUGCACUUAACUACUUUUGAAUUGGAUUCUGAAUUGAUUUGGAUGUAAUUGAUUUUGCAGUGUCAUGUUUAAUGAAGGGUUAAACUUGGUCUCUAUCCAUAUAAAAAUAAGACUCAUUCAAUCUAAUUUAUACAAUAGGGACCUACUGAUAGAUCUUGAGGUACCCUAGUGGAUUUCCAAGCUGUUUGUUGCCAUAGCAAUCCCUGCUCUAUGUGCCUUCAGUUUCUGUCUUGACCCACUUUGGUUUAGAUGCAUUUCUAGCAGAGGGGACAGUAGGCAUGCUCCCAUUUCUAAGCCCCUUGGGGACUGCAUUGGUAGCCAGAUUGUCCCUUCUCCCUCUUCCUCAAUUGUAGAUCCUGGAAGGCUUCCUAAAUGGAAGAGUUAUGGACCCAAAGUCUGAGACUUUGGAGAAAUGGUCUAACUUAGACCUCAGGCGUACUACCCACUUAAUUAAUGUAACCUCAAAGUACCUAACUUCCAUACUAGGAGCACAUUCUGGAAUCCCAGCCAGGCCUGCUUUGGUUCCUAUUUCUACUACUCAGGUGGACACCCAAAUCCACACCCUGUUCACACAGGAGAAAAUACUUGUGUGACCAGGGUAGCUUUUAAUAUGCUACUUCAUAUUACAACUGUUGACUUGUAUUAGCAGGAAGACAGACCAAAAACAAGAAACAGCCUUCCUACUUGUAAGUUGAACAGCCUUUGCCCUGGACCGUCCUCCCUAGUGGCUCUGGAAAGAGGAAACAAGGCAGAGGAGGUGGGACAGCUCCACCAAAUGGCUUCCUGGGUGUCCUUCACAAACUUUUUUAUUUUUAUUAAGGGGUUAGUAGAGCUGCCUCUAAACUAACAAUGGAAGAAACCACCCUGGAAGGGAAUUUUUGGAGGAAGAAUUUCUGCUGAGUAGGUUCGUCUCAGCAUAAAUGUUCGCACGCAACAGAAGAGAAGUUAAUGAUCACUGACUUUCCUUGAACUUCAAAGCCCUAUGUUAUUUACUUUCAUAUUUAUUAUUUAAUCAUCACACAACUAUAUUUAAGUAGGUAUCGUUGCAGGUGAGUUCCAUUUGCCAAAGAUUACAGAUCUGGAACAGAGUCGUACUCAAAGCUACAACGUGCCUGACUCCUGGGUUUAUGCUCUUCAUCGCAACCUUCCCGUGAGAAAAGUUCCUCUAUGUGUGAGGACAGAGACGGUGGAAAGGACAGAGAUUUUGAAAGGACAUCUGGAAAACUUGUAUGACUCAGGGGAUGGCCACAUCUCUCUUAAGGUCCAUCUGAAGGCACCCUCCUCUGGGACACGUUCAUUUCUCAGAAGAAAGCGUAUACUUCAAAAACUCUUACUGUUUGGAGUGCUCAUUUGGUACUUCCUGAUUACCGAUUUGUAUUGCUAGUGCUUCUUUCCCGCUUAUUUGAAGUCCCCAAUUAAAUCUAUAAACUAA